UCCGGACUGCAAACGAGUCCAAAGUUUAAUGGGUUGACUUUGGGAAAUUCAAGGAAACCACACCUGACCAUCCACAGCAAGACACUUUGUAUGACUGUGGAUUCUACAGCAUUCUUUACAUGGAGCACUUCAAUGGGAAAGUCAUGCCAAAUUUCGAGAAUGAUGUAGUUCCAGAUUUUCGAAGGUUGCUCGCAGCAAGCCUAAUCGACAACAGGGAUAACCAGAGUGAUGAUGUCGACGUGAUAAUGAACGAGGAUUUGCAGCAGGGAUAGUUUAGCUUUUUGUUCAAAACACAUGGUGUUGCUGCCUUUUGUAACUGUAACCAUGUACUGGAACAUGGAGUAGAACUAGGCUUCUGGUGAUGGUUCUAUAUGUUGGACCUGUUAGUUGAAUGAUCAGUUCUUUUUAUGUUUUUCUCAGUACAAUCUACCAGAUAUAAGUUUAAUGUUGGCUCUGGAAUA